CCAGUGAUCAGUGCCAAAGCCCCAUUGCCUGUGGAGAGGGUGAUGUUUGAUUUCCCUGUCCAGCUGCAGUUCAUGUGGUGAAGGUGCUCCCACAAUGUGGUUGGGUGGACAUUCAGAUGGUAAUCUCAGUAAUUGUAACGCCAAACUGUGACAAAAUUACUCAAUUCAUCAGGAGCUGGAUAUUCACAUUGUGUGGAUCUGCACUGGAACCCUUCUGUUUGCGGGACAAAUAUAUAUAAGUGACAUGGAUUAAAAUCUAAUUUGGUGCCUCACCACUCACUGGGUCGCGGAGAAACUCUGCCGUUACAAUGAGAACUGUCCUUGCUAUCACCGCUCCUCGUGCUUCCGCCUAAUCCCCACUUCCCUUCAUCCCAGAUGCCUCUAGUCCACCCACAUGGACAUGUUGAAGAGCUUGACAGGAGAAUGGAUUGAAACCGAGAGUUCAAUCGACAGAAUGAAAGAGGAAGAAGGAAAUAAACGGUGAUUGUGGAUCCCAGCGGAUACAGACUCCAGGAUUAAUCCUUGUCGGUAUUCCUGCAGUAAUAUGAGACAGCACUCCACGGUGAGAGUUAAACCCAGGAGGCAGGAAGGGGAGCCAUUGAACAUGAGCAGGUUUAGUUCAAACACAAGAGGUUUGUUCAGUCAGUAACAGUGUGUUCGACAUGGAGGUGAAGUGAGCAGUGAGGGGAAAUGUUACCACAAGCUGACAAUGGAUAACUUUCAUUGGAACAGGAGGAGGCCAUUCAGCCCCUCGACUUUGCUGUGCCACUCAUGAUGAUCAUAGCUGAUGU